rnacentral:rRNA from 1 species
UACGUAGGGGGCCAGCGUUGCUCGGAAUUACUGGGCGUAAAGGGUUCGUAGGUGGUGCGGCAAGUUGGGAGUGAAAUCUCUGGGCUUAACUCAGAGGCUGCUUUCAAAACUGCCGCGCUCGAGUGCGAGAGAGGUCAGUGGAAUUGCAGGUGUAGCGGUGAAAUGCGUAGAUAUCUGCAGGAACACCCGUGGCGAAGGCGGCUGACUGGACAAGUAUUGACGCUGAGGUGCGAAAGCGUGGGGGAGCAAACAGG